rnacentral:misc_RNA from 1 species
AUUGCGGCCUCAAGUAGGUCACACGCAGUUGAGCGACAGCACUGUAACAAGAAGUGUGCAUUCGAUACUGCUUAUAAAACAAAACUCUACACAAUGGCAGAAAGAGACAGAGCCACAAAUCAGCUGAAGGAAUUCAAGGAAAAUCAAGCUGGCCAGAAAAGUGCUAUUACAACAGGUGCAGGAUCUCCAGUUGGCUCCAAAAAUGCUGUAAUGACAGUGGGGCCACGAGGGCCUCUUCUUGCACAAGACUUUGUGUUUUUUGAUGAAAUGAUGCAUUUUACCAGAGAGCGAAUCCCAGAACGAGUGGUGCAUGCCAAAGGGUCAGGAGCCUUUGGCUAUUUUGAGGUCACCCAUGACAUCACCAAGUACACUAAGGCCAAGCUUUUUAAUCAAAUCGGCAAAAGAACACCUCUUGGUGUGCGUUUCUCCACAGUGGGUGGUGAGAAGGGCUCAGCAGACACAGCUCGUGAUCCCCGAGGCUUUGCUGUCAAGUUCUACACAGAAGAUGGCAACUGGGAUCUGACGGGCAAUAACACACCCAUUUUCUUUAUUCGAGAUCCAAUACUGUUUCCCAGUUUCAUUCACACUCAGAAGAGGAACCCAGCCACAAACUUGAAAGACCCAGAUAUGGUGUGGGACUUCAUCACACUGAGACCAGAGACAACCCAUCAGGUGUGCUUCUUGUAUUCAGAUAGAGGAACACCUGAUGGCUAUCGCCACAUGAAUGGAUAUGGAAGUCACACCUUCAAACUUGUCAACAAAGACAAUCAGGCUGUCUACUGCAAGUUUCACUUCAAGACUGACCAGGGCAUCAAGAAUCUGAUGGCCAACAGGGCGAUGGAUCUUUGUGCAUCAGACCCAGACUACUCACAACGGGACCUCUAUAAUGCCAUUUCAGAAGGAAACUUCCCAUCAUGGAGCCUAUACAUCCAGGUCAUGACCUUCGAGGAGGCAGAAAAAUUCCGCUUCAAUCCUUUUGACCUAACAAAGAUUUGGCCACAUGGUGAAUAUCCACUGAUCCCUGUUGGGCGCAUGGUUCUGAACCGCAAUCCCAAGAACUACUUUGCUGAAGUUGAACAGAUUGCCUUCUCGCCUUCACACAUGGUGCCUGGUAUUGAGCCCAGUCCAGACAAGAUGUUGCAGGGCCGUCUCUUCGCAUAUUCAGACACUCACCAUCAUCGCCUUGGCAACAAUUACCUGCAGAUUCCUGUUAACUGUCCCUUCAAUUCCAAAGUGCAGAACUAUCAGCGAGAUGGUGCUCAGUGUGUCAAUGAUAACCAAGGUGGUGCUCCUAACUACUACCCCAACAGUUUCUCUGGUCCUGUUGAUGACAAGAAAUAUUUGGAAUGCCCACAGCAUUUUGCUGGGGAUGUGACCCGCUACAACACUGAAGAUGAUGACAACUUUACACAACCUGGAGUCUUCUGGAAUAAGGUGCUGUCAUCUGAAGAGCGUGCACGGUUGGUGGAGAAUAUUGUUGACCAUCUCAGGCUUACUUUGGACUUCAUCCAAGAACGUGCUGUCAAGAAUUUCACUGCUGUAGAUCCUGAGUUUGGGAACCGUGUGAGACAGGGAUUAAAUGCUUUCAAGUCUCCAAAGACCAAUGGAAUUGGAGUUUAUAUCACUAAGCUUCAAGCUGGAAUGACUAGACUUUGAAUGCCAAAAAAGAACUACUUCUUCCUCAGUCCAGGCCAGCCUUUGAACACCCAACCAGCAUCUGGAUGCAAGAUGGCUCUUGGCAGAUAUAAAGUCUACCCGCUGAUCCUUUUUAUCAAAACUAUAUGGCUGUAAAAGAUGCAAAAUGUACUGUAGCCAGACUGAAGACAUUCCUCGCUAAGGUUAACACCACGGCCUUUAGCACCAAAUCAGUCUGUUCCCAGACUGAUCCACUUCACAUGGCUACACUGUUGCUGGACCUUUGGUAGUAAUGGCUCCUAAAGCCCUAGUUCCAAACCAUGGACAUGGAUGUGUAUUUAUGAACUGAUGUCUGUAUGCCGAGACUCACUCUUGGCCUCUUGCGAAGUGAUCCGCUGUUAGUCUCGGCGAGCCAUAACAAAAAAUGUGAAUAAACCAGAAGCUAUGUCGUUUAA